UACGAGGGGGGCGAGCGUUGUUCGGAAUUAUUGGGCGUAAAGGGUGUGUAGGCGGUUUGGUAAGUCUUAUGUGAAAUCUACAGGCUCAACUUGUAGUCUGCAUGAGAAACUGCCGGGCUUGAGUAUGGGAGAGGUGAGUGGAAUUCCUGGUGUAGCGGUGAAAUGCGUAGAUAUCAGGAGGAACACCUGUGGCGAAAGCGGCUCACUGGACCAUAACUGACGCUGAGGCGCGAAAGCUAGGGGAGCAAACAGG
rnacentral:rRNA from 1 species